rnacentral:lncRNA from 10 species
UAUCAGUGAUAUAUCUCACCUUAUUACGAGGUUACAUUCCUCAGAGUAAAAAACCAAUACAAAUCAUGGGUGAAACAAAUACUCCUGUAUCACUAUAUCAAUUUCAACCUAUAGUUUUUCAGUUAGCUCCCCUAGAGGGAACCUAACAUGUCUUCCUCUCUGCCCCCUCAGCCUCCAACCGUCUGAUAGGGAGAGAUUUCCUAGAGUUAUAUAAUACUCACAUAUCUUUCUUUCAAAAGGGGGGAGGCCGGGUCCGGUGACUCAUGCCUGUACUCCCAGCACUUUGGGAGGCUGAGGCUGGCAAAUCAUGAGGUCAGGAGAUUGAGACAGUCCUGGACAACGUGGUGAAACCCUGUCUCUACUAAAAAUACAAAAAUUAGCCAGACGUGGUGGCAUGCGCCUGUAAUCCCAGCUACUCAGGAGGCUGAGGCAGAAAAAUCGCUUGAACCUGGGAAGGGGAGGUUGCAGUGAGCUGAGAUCGUGCCACUGCACUCCAGCCUGGUGACAGAGCAAGAUUCCAUCUCAAACGAAAAGGAGGUGGGGAUGUAUUUAGAAUUAGAAGAUAAAAUAGAAUUAUUAGGUCCAAAAUUUUCUCAAAUUCUGAUGCUUUUAAAUCACAACUAGCAAUUAAUAUUGUCAUGAAGGAAAGUAGAUUGUUAAAUAAUGAAGAAUUAUGUAACAAGAGCUGUUAAAAAUAGUACUUGAGUGCUUCCUUCAGCAGCUCAUAUAAUAAAAUUGGGAUGACAGCGAAGAUUAGCAUGGCCCCUGCAUGAAGAUGAUAUGCAAAUUCAUGAAAUGUUCCAUAUUUUAUAUUAAUAAAAGUUUUUUUUAAAGAUUAAAACUAGUACUUGAUCAAUUGUGGUCAAAAUUCUCCACCAAUAUUGGAAAAAUUAUCUUAGCUGCCCCAAUUAAAAUUCAAAUAAAUCCAUCAAAACCUUUUCCAAACCUUAAACAAUAUUCUCCAAGAUCAGAGGCAUAGGAAGGGAUAAGACCUAUUGGAUUAUAUGAAAAGAGGGUUGAUUAUUUUUUAUAGAAGCUCAUACUCCAAACAGUAGAGGGUGGAGAUUUGCACAGAAUCUGAGGGCAAUUAAUAACAUAGUAAUUCCUCACAUCCAAUGGUUACCAAACCUGCAUACGUGUUGACUGCCAUCUCAACUGAAGGUGUGUUCUUUACUGUAAGAGACCUAUGUAGCUCAUUCUUCAGCAUUCCUGUGGAUAAAGAUAAUCAAUUUCUCUUUACCUUCACUUGGGAAGAUAGACAAUACACAUGAACAGUUAUGCCUCAGGGAUAUACUGAGAGUACAACUUAUUUUUCAUAAAUAUUAAUAGCAGACCUUUCAGAUGUUGACUUCCUUAAGAAAUGCACCUUGAUACAGUAUGGAGACAAUUUACUUCUCUGCUCAGGAGAUAAACAAACCUCCAUAGAG